rnacentral:rRNA from 1 species
CAGCCGCCGCGGGAAAACAGAGGGUGCGAGCGUUAAUCGGAUUUACUGGGCGUAAAGCGUGCGUAGGCGGCUUUUUAAGUCGGAUGUGAAAUCCCUGAGCUUAACUUAGGAAUUGCAUUCGAUACUGGGAAGCUAGAGUAUGGGAGAGGAUGGUAGAAUUCCAGGUGUAGCGGUGAAAUGCGUAGAGAUCUGGAGGAAUACCGAUGGCGAAGGCAGCCAUCUGGCCUAAUACUGACGCUGAGGUACGAAAGCAUGGGGAGCAAACAGGAUUAGAGACCCCCGUAGUCCCUGUCUCUUAUAC